CAUCGCUUGGGUGUGCAUUCAUAUGUUUCCACUGGUUUGUGCAGGGUUUGGAACACUCGCCUGACUGCGAGUAAUCCAUCACCAUGUCCAUGCAAAGGUUGACUGGAUGUCAGCUAUUACAUAUGUAUGUGAGUGUGAAUUGGAUGGACGAAUGCUGUUGACUCUUAUAUUCUAUUCACGUACAUAUAUGUAUAUGUCUGCAAAUGACAAAGACAUGUAAGGGAAAGCACAGGGUACAUAGGUCAUUGAACAUGGUCCCGGUACAUGGUUGUAGUAGGUUAUAGCGCGGCGUUGAAAGACCACAUCCGAGGCAGAGACGCAUAAAGGAAGAAGAUAAGGGUUUUCAUGAGAGAGAGAAAGGAAGGCAAGAGAGAUCCAGCAUGUCCGAAGGAUCUCCUGCGACAGUAUCCUUUAGCUUUGGCAAUCAUCCCUGGUCUUUGUUGCUCUACAUCGUGGGAGCCUGUGCUCGCUGCCUGGGCUGCUCAGUUUCCUCCGGUGGUGGUGCUCAGGAUCCUUCCACGGGAGAUCAAGCUAAUGACAUGGACCCCACUGCAGAUGGGUCUGGGGUCGAGACCAAGGCAGCGAGGAGGCCCAGGAGGCCACCACCGAGCGAAGGGCGAGGAGGUCAGAUCAACUGAGCAAGCACAUGUUACCCUCCUUUGGCAUCAGUGCAUGAAGGAAUAGUUCAGAGUUGGUCGGAGUAAAUUACUAUGCAGCUAUCAACGUUCUCUCAGUCCAAACACUUAAUACUUCUGUAGAGCUCUCUCCAAGUUCUUCUUAUGUGCCUAUUUGUCUGUGAGUUGAUACUGUCCGAGUUCUUCUUUUCAUUACUUCUAAACCACCAUGUCAUCAAGCCGAGCUCGAGAUAUACAAGAAGGAAUGUUCAGUUCUCCUUUCCUUUAGGUAGUUUCUUGUUUCAUGUUCCAUUCGAUCUGUAAAAAAGGUCACACCAAAGCUUUCUCUGCGCCUA